rnacentral:rRNA from 1 species
GACGAACGCUGGCGGCGUGCUUAACACAUGCAAGUCGUACGGUAAGGCCCUUUCGGGGGUACACGAGUGGCGAACGGGUGAGUAACACGUGAGUAACCUGCCCACAACUUUGGGAUAACGCUAGGAAACUGGUGCUAAUACUGGAUAUGUGCUCCUGCUGCAUGGUGGGGGUUGGAAAGCUCCGGCGGUUGUGGAUGGACUCGCGGCCUAUCAGCUUGUUGGUGGGGUAGUGGCCUACCAAGGCGGCGACGGGUAGCCGGCCUGGGAGGGUGACCGGCCACAUUGGGACUGAGAUACGGCCCAGACUCCUACGGGAGGCAGCAGUGGGGAAUAUUGCACAAGGGGCGCAAGCCUGAUGCAGCAACGCCGCGGGCGGGAUGACGGCCUUCGGGUUGUAAACCGCUUUCAGCAGGGACGAAGCUUUUUGUGACGGUACCUGCAGAAGAAGCACCGGCUAACUACGUG